UUUUUAACAAAAAUUUCACUG
rnacentral:piRNA from 1 species